GCAAGGGAGGCAGGAGUACUCUCUCUAUGCAAGUACCUAUCUCUCUACAAGAGCAGAAGGCAGGAGCCAUGGUGGGCAAGCUCUAGCCCAGACCCUCAUCCUCUGUAUAGAACCUUCAUCUUCGAUUCUUCUUGUCUGGCUCUUGACCUAGAUGAUGACUAUCAAUGCAAUCCAUCAAUGCAGGAAUCGCACCAUGGCUUGCCCUGCCAUGUGCCAAAUGGCUUUGUACUAGGGCUAGGGUUAUGGGCUAGAGGUUAAUGGAAAUAAGGGGAUGCGGAGUGGUCCUGUAACACUUGCAAGUUUGAGUUCGAGAGCACUGAUGCCGUUUUGUGGUUCACAUGGUGAAUGAUAAGUCACUUCCCUUCAAAGAAAGUAGGCCAUGUAGUGGCUACUGCUUUUAUUAGGAUACACUUCCAUGAGUGCUCUAUAAG
rnacentral:lncRNA from 1 species